rnacentral:tRNA from 1 species
CCCUGGGUGGCUCAGUCGGUUGAGCGUCCGACUUCGGCUCAGGUCAUGAUCUCACAGUUUGUGGGUUCAAGCCCCGCAUCAGGCU